rnacentral:rRNA from 1 species
GCAAAAACAACAUCUAGUCCGUAGUCCCGGCGAUGUUAAGCGGGAAGAGCUCAAAUUUGCAAUCUGGUUAACCUUCGGUUGCCCGAGUUGUAAUCUAGAGAAGUGUUUCCGCGUUGGCCCAGUGUACAAGUCCCUUGGAACAGGGCGUCAUAGAGGGGUGAGAAUCCCGUCCUUGAACAUGGACCCCCAAUGCUUUGUGAUACACUUUCAACGAGUCGAGUUGUUUGGGAAUGCAGCUCAAAAUGGGUGGUGAAUUCCAUCUAAAGCUAAAUAUUGGCGAGAGACCGAUAGCGAACAAGUACCGUGAGGGAAAGAUGAAAAGCACUUUGGAAAGAGAGUUAAACAGUACGUGAAAUUGUUGAAAGGGAAACGAUUGACGUCAGUCAUGCUCUUUGGUUUAAGCCGUUCUGCGGUGUAUAUCAUUGAGUGGGGUCAACAUCAGUUUUGACCGCUGGAAAAGGGCAAGAGGAAGGUAGCACCUCCGGGUGAACUUAUUGCCUCUCGUCGUAUACAGUUGGUUGGGGACUGAACGAACCGCAGCAUGCCUUUUUGGGCCAGAGGAUUUCUGUCCACCGUUACAAUGCUUAAGGAAUGCUUGACAUAAUGGCUUUAAACGACCCGUCUUGAAACA